rnacentral:rRNA from 1 species
GAUGAACGCUGGCGGCGUGCUUAACACAUGCAAGUCGAACGAAGCACUUAAGAUUGAUUCUUCGGAUGAAGUCUUUUGUGACUGAGUGGCGGACGGGUGAGUAACGCGUGGGUAACCUGCCUCAUACAGGGGGAUAACAGUUAGAAAUGACUGCUAAUACCGCAUAAGCGCACAGGACCGCAUGGUCUGGUGUGAAAAACUCCGGUGGUAUGAGAUGGACCCGCGUCUGAUUAGCUAGUUGGUGAGGUAACGGCCCACCAAGGCGACGAUCAGUAGCCGACCUGAGAGGGUGAUCGGCCACAUUGGGACUGAGACACGGCCCAA